UUUAUCGUUCCUAACGUUGUCGACAAAAAGUUCAAAAUAAGAGCUACGUUUACAGAUACAAUCACUAUUUCUAGAGCCGUAAAUGUAUCGUAUUGGCUGUUUGAGAUAUAGUUUUUUGCUAUGCGGGAGCACCAUAAGUUGAUCGACGUAAUCGGAGGGGAUCGGUCAAUUUAGUAGGUUUUCGUAGGACUCUAUUUAGUUGGCAAACUUUAAGCCUAUUUAGUAUGGAAUGGUCAUAACUGAAUUAGUUUUUGACAUGUGUUGUGUGAAGGAGUUCAUCGAAGGGAAAGCUUGGCCCACGGUUCGUCAGUGCUCAUCAGUAGUUUGUUCGAGUGGCGAGCGGGUUUCUAUCGGUUCCGUCAUGACGACGUCAACCUGACCAACUUCCCGGACGUUUGCCGGGCAUGCCUGAAGCCGUAAUCGAAGGUGUUCAUGAUUCCGAUGGAGGCAUCACCGUGGGCCAGUUCCUCGAUGAGGUGCCGGAGAAAAACAUUCAGCUCUCGAAAUCCGUUUGUACCGGUUGGGUGGAGGAGCUGGAACGGAUUUCCAUCUUCAGGUGCGAGCUGCUGUUGAGUCAGAAGUUUACGGAAGCCUUGGUAGAUCGUUGGAGUUUUGCAGUGCUUGGAUGGCAAGCUUCUCCACAGGACAGGUCGUUCCCCGACCGGCUACUGUAGGAUGCUAGGUUCAAAGAUUCCGGCAUUCUCAUUGCCGAAUGAGCCAGUUUGCAGGUUCGUGCCUCCACCAUCAGGCUACCUGCCAAAAAUUUACUUCGCCAACCACCUACAUUUUUACUACAGAAAAAUAAAAAUACCUCUACUGGACUUGCUCCGAGAUACGAAAAUGAACCAUUUACAUAAAUCGGCCUAUUUAGUCGGAUGGUACUUUUGCGGUCAAUCAAUCCGGCUAUUCAGUCGGAUUGAGUUGGGUGGUAGGAAGAAAAAUCAAUUUUUGAGGUCAAUCAAUCCGGCUAUUAAGUACGAUUGGGUAGAGUGGUAGGAAAAAAAUCGAUGUUGGCGGUCAAUCAAUUCAGCUAUUUAGUCGGAUUGCGUAGGGUGGUAGGGAGAAAAAUCAAUUUUUGAGGUCAAUCAAUCCGGCUAUUUAGUACAAUUUGGUAGGGUGGUAGAAAAACAAUCGAUUUUUGUGGUCAAUCAAUUCUGCUAUUUAGUCGUAUUGAGUUGGAUGGUGCAAAGAAAAAUCUAUUUUUGCUGUCAAUCAAUUCGGCUAUUUAGUACGAUUGGGUAGGGUGGUAGGAAAAACAAUCGAUUUUUGAGGCCAAUCAAUUCUGCUAUUUAGUCGGAUUCAGUCGGAUGGUUAAUACUAAGUAGCUCGUUUGAUACCCCUAUUAAAUAGCUGAACGUCGAAAAUCUCAUUAACUUUAUCGCCCUACUAAUCAGGCGAUUAAGUCGGUUCCUACACAAUCAUGCUACCCAUCACCCUAUUUGAUAGGCCUACGAAAUUGGCUUACUAAUCGGCUGAUGCCCAGCAAAAACUCCCAUAAGCGACGUUGCAACAAUAGGCCGAUUAGUAUGAUCGAAAAUCGGCCGACGCACCCUUCGCGAGCCGACUAAGUAUGGUGAAUAGUAGGGUGUAUUUCCUAUCGGGCAUGGUUAGACCCGAAAUUUGACAACCGUAAUUUGACAGCUCUGCUGAUAGGUCGCAUUUUCGUCAGAUCCCGGAUCGGAACGAAUAUCGCAACCGGACCGAUUACUGUCAAACUAUUAGUUGUCAGUUUGAAUCUAUCCCGUUUCCCUUCGAAUUCUGUUGGAUUUCCUGACCAUUUCUCCGCUGCCCUACAAUGACAGAUAUCUAAAUCGAUAAGUUUAGUUUCGAUUCCAAUUCUGUCAGUUUUUGGCGGGCCAUCAUUUGAAAAACGAUCGGUUAUUUUUCGUGUUUGUCGCACGCCGCGUUUUCGUUGCCGGUCAAAAUUUGACGCCCCCAUUAAAUUAAGUCUUAGCUUAAGCUGACCUUUCAAGCUCUCCACAGUCUGCUUCAUGCCUAGCGCAUUCAAUUUGCUGAAACAAGGUGGUGGAGAAAAAAGCUGGAGGAGCUUCGGCCAUAAUUUCAUGGGACCAUUUCUUCAAUUCACUGUUCCGCUACUAUCAGAAUCUGAGACAGGAGCAAAACUCCGGCAGUGAAACAGUUUACCGCUACAGAGAGCCCUCAGCAGAAACAUCAACCCUCAGGAAAUGGCACUCAUCGACGCAGCUUACUCCCUUUUCGACACCUUCACACCAUUCCCCGGACGUUAGAGAUGAAUCAUCCAACAGGAUGAAAAUCCAGAAAAAAAAUUACCCGAACGCAAAAAUCUCGAGAAGACCUAUGCGCUACAGAUUCUGUACCAGGGUUUUGAAACACAAGAAGAUUUCUUCAAUCCACUAGGCAUGAAGACCAAAGUGGACCACAUGCUCAACGCCAUCCGCUACGUUACCUACAAUUGUUCCUUCCGGAGAACGCUCUAGUUUCCAUGAAAAUUCUCGCUUCCAAAAUGCGUCAACCGAACGUAAAGCCCUAUAGGGCUGCUGACCCAAAAUGAGCGCACCAAAAAUGAAAUCCGUCAAGGUUUGUGUUGGAAAGCGAAGCGAAGUAACAUUCUCGGAGGAUGACGUUGAAUGUGGUCAGGAACUACAGGAGCAGCAGCACGAAACAGGCUCCGUUUGUUUGGAGCUGCAGUACAAGAAAGCCAUCGUCGAUCGGCUGCAGGAGUGUUUGCCGAAACGGAGCACCCCUUAAUCUGGCACAAAAUCUGCUUGGCUUUGACCUGAGCAAAGAACUGCGACUCAACAAUUUGCAGCGGGGUGCUCCCCGAGCAACUGCAGCUUAUUUUGCUGCUAGAUCAAACCUUGGAUGAAGGCCAACUCAAUUCCCCAGCACCAAAAAUGAAAUCCUAAAGGGUUUUGUCAAGUUUUAUGUGAGGAACGUCGCAGAGAAAAGGAACUCCGUCGGCUUCAAGCUUUCAUUUAUGGAUCUCUCAGUGAGAACGUUAACGCUUCGCGGGCUGAACAACGUGAGAAUCCUUUUGCUGCAGGAAUCCGGUAGAACUUUCGACAAAAAGACGCCCAACAAUGGCAACGAUCACUAUUCGAUCGAUUUGACCGAUCCUGAUAACAAUGUUAAAUUGGUGGAGUCCCCGCUUUCACCGGUUAAGCGUUCUUCAGUAGAAGGGACUCAACUACGCGGAACCGUCCCACGUCCGAUUGUGACAGCGGGGGCUCCCGGAGGAGCAGGCGUAAGAAUUACACCGAACAAUGCAAUGAGUAAACCUGUAGCCGGUGCUGUUCAACGAUCUGUAUCGUCCCUUAGCACUGUGCCCGGCAGCAGUCCAAACAUGAAGAAAAUCACAUGCUAUGAAACUUGGUACGUUAUCAAUAUACCGAAUGCUGAUGGGAAACCUGAGCGACCAUCGUUUGGGAUGACUAUGAUUGGGUUAGAUAACGAGGCAGCAAAGUUGCAGCUUCCUUCGGAAUAGUGGUCUCACAAAAUAAUCCUCACCAAAAGGAAACAUCCGUCCGACGAGGGAGAUGAAGUCUUCAACGGGGAUGCUGCAGAUCGCGCUAUCAACGAAGACGAAAAACGCAACUAUGAGCCAUGUAAUAUUAUGUCACGAUGGCAGACGGCCAUCCCAGGAAAGUUCAAUCUGCAGUAUGAUCGGACUGUUAUCCUCUAAAACGAUACCUUCUUCAUCAAUGUUGAUGGGAGAUCCCAACAAGCUUGAAGACUGUGCCGACAUCGAGACAUUGCUGUCGGUUGUUGACUAUGUCAAUCUAAAGAAUUCAUGCGUUGAAUUACCCACGGCCCAGCAGCAGAUGCCGAACCACCCGGGAUUGCCGCGCAGUUUGGUCGCGGUGUUGUAUUAUGAUGGAAGGAAGUCGCUUGUGGCCAGCUUUUCCAGGCGCGAACCGGUGUUAGCUGGUGCACAAAUGUGUCACAGAUAAUAAUAUAAAAAAAACACGAAUACCAUAUAGCAAAUUCAAAAUGAUUUUUUAAAUUCACAGGAAAUAACCCAGGUUAUAACCUCUUACAUGAAUGGUUUGGUCGCCGAUGGAAUGCUUGACAAGAUCGUCGAUACCUUGGGGGAACUAAUCAUCACCUGUCCCCCUGGAACUGGAUGUGUUGACGAAAAAUCGAGCACUUGGGCCACCCAAACAUCAUCGGCAAGCGUUGGAGUUGUUCGAGGAAAUUCGGCCGCUCAAAGUGGACUGCCACGGGGAACAAUUGUGAAGGAGACUCCCCACCCGGUUUCCACAUCCUACUACAAGUCAACACCAUAUCCGACUUCCUUAGGCUGCCUCUGCACAUCAUCGUCGAAGCCUGUUCCAUCUUUGAAACCUUCACACCAUUCCUCGGACGCAAAAAUAUCGAGGAGACCUCCCUACAUGCGUUACAGAUCCUGUACCGGGCUCUCAAAUCACAGGAUGGCGAAUUUUUGGCGUUCGAAGCAGCCAAUCAUCUGCCCCAUUGGGCAAAUCUUAUAAAAAUCAUGAACAAAUUCUAGCGCAUUGUAAAUAUUUUUUU